AAGAAACAAAUGCUGUUAUCUCUAAACAUGGAAUUUGAAAUAAAUGAAAAUAUUAGAACAAAUAAACACUCUGAUAAAUGUGAGUGAAUAGGACAGUAGGUAAUAAGCUGGAAGAAUGAAUUCUGUCAGCUCAUGCUUAGAGUCAUAUUGUUAAGGCAGGGUAUGAAGACAGCAGAAACGUAGGGGUUACAGGCAUGAAUUCAGGAGUCAGGUCAAGCAGAGUUGUAAUUGCGUCUCCUCUCAUUCCUAAUCUGUGAAUUUAGCUGAGUCAACUUAACCUACUGAGUUUACUUCAUUAUUUGUAAAAUAAAGGUAAUACCCAAAGGAAAAGUGGUGCGCUCCUAUAAUCCCAGCUCCUUAGGAGGCGGAGGCAGGAAGAUCUCUUAGGCCUAGUAGUUUGAGACCAGCCUGAGCAGCAUAGCAAGACCACGUUUCGCGGAGGGAAAAAUAAAAUACCCGCCCUGCUCUAGGUCCUGGCGAGCCCUCAGCGCGGUGUUCCAUUUCACUCACAGUCUUCCUGGGCUGUGCUCCCCUUGUGUUCCCUGCACUCCUGCACCCUAUUCUUCUGUUUUACAGGCCAGACCUGUUACUCUACAAAUGACUGCACAUGCCAUUGCCCUGCCUCGUCAGCAGACAUGGCAUAUCAUAGGCCGGUACCCAUUCUUGCUUUCUUCUUACUAACAAUUUCAUUUUCUUUUGUUCUGGGGCAACAAAAGGCCCAUCCAUGCCAGUUCAAAGCAAGAAACUUCCUUAGCUUUACUGUAUCUGUGGGACAGUUUAGAGCAGAUGUGUGUGAACAUUUAUGGACAGGGCUUCUGGGAGGCUGCUGUUUGCUGACAGGAAGGGGGACUGACUAGGCUGGCUGCGCACCCUGCCCUUCAGCCUCCCCCAUUCUUCAUCACUGGAAGGCUGAGUUACUGCUCAGUAGUACAGUGGCCGUCUGGCGAGCUGCACACUGGGGUGGGGGCGGGGCGCAAGGAAAAAGGCAUAAGGAGCUUGGCUCCCUAAAGGCACUGUGGGACUCCAGUGAGGAAAAGAACCCCUUCUUUAGGUAAAUCAUUUUAUCAUUUUAUUUGGUAUUCUACUGAAAGCAGUGAAUAUAAUUCUGGCUGUUACCCAUGCUUUACCCCCAGCACUUUAAAAAACCUUUUUUAGUGUUUGGCUGUCUCAUUCUUCAGGACUCCGUUGAAUGUGACUGCCUCAAAGAUGCCUUCUCUGGUCAUUCCUUCUAAAGUAGCGCUUCCUUCCACACUCUUGUGGUAUUCUGUUUUAUUGCCACCACAUUAUUAAAAUUAGCUGAAAAUAUCUUCUUAUUUAUUUACUUCUGAGUACUAUGUAUCUCACUCUGGGUAGAACUAAGCUCAAUUAGAAUAAAGACCUCAUGUGUCUUGUUCAUCGCUCUGUCUGUACUGAGAACUAUGCUGAUAUAAAGCAGGUGCUCAGCAAAUGUUUCUUAAAUGCAUACAAAGUGUGUUAUCUACAUUAAAGAGCAACUUUUACAUUCAAUCAGUAGUUUUGUCAGGGAAAGGAAAAUUAAAGUGGAAUUCAUAGUGUUGGAGUGAUUAUAUACCUUUAUAUAUUCUGGUUUGUGUGUAUAUGUCAUUCACAUUAAUUAAUUGAGCGCUUAUGUGCUAGGAAUUCUAAGCACUGUCUACCUUUUCAUAUUAUUCAGUAAAUAGCUUUAUAAAAAGUAAAUACAAAAUCGUAUGCUUUAUUCUACCGGGUAGUUCUAAAAAAAAAAAAAAAAAAACCAAUUUCCUCUUUUAACCAUUAUGUAUUUAUUUAUUUAUUUUAAAGUGUUUCUUCAAAGUGAAACUUGAAACGUGUGAUAAACUUGCAAAUAGAACUGCAUUUUGUCUCAGUGGAAAAUGCUCUAUCACAUAUAUCUUAAUGACUUUGUGUCAAAACCUACUGUUUUACCUGUCAAGAUGAUCUUCUUCCCUUACUGUGCAUUUCGGAGGAUGGAAGUACAUAGAAUGAAAUUUCAGUGUCAGACACAUCAAUUAUAAACCAACAUAGCUGUUUCAUUUUUCACCAAUGAUGGAGAAAGAGAGUCAGGGGAAGAAUGAGUCUAUUUUUACCUUUAAGUAGCAGCGUUCAGUAUAAGAUGUCUUCACUUAGAAAUCAGUCAUACCCUCAGCUGUGGACCAGUGCAGGCUUUAAUAAUUCAUUCUGAAACCUGUGCUUCCCUAGCUAGUGCUCUCUGGCUCUUUACUUAUUUAGAGGUCUGUUUACUUCUCGGUUUGCACCUGCACUGUCCAUUCAAUCUGCUGUGCAUAACCAGUGGGGAAUAAGCCCAUUAACUAGAAUAAUUGAAGCAUUUCAGCUUCCUGCAAUCUUCAACCUAUUGGGGUCUCAGGCAACAUAUUUCUUUAUAAAGCUCGUCUUUCAUCUGAACCACAGGUCUAGAUCCUUAAUACAGUGAUCAGAAUCUUGUGAUUCUGUGACAUUGGAAUCAUUUGGAAAAUUUGGAAGCCCCAUAAUAUUUGGUCUGGUCUGCAGAUUCUCAAAGCAGUUCCACUAGGGAUUGAUACAAGUGCUAGUCUUGUAUAAUUAACCACAACAACAGAUUGUAGCAGAAUAUAAAAGAUGGAAGCUGACUUAUGGAACAAAAAGACAAAGCUUAUUGUUGUGGCAACGAGGGGCUUGAUUCCUUUAGGACAGGCUAUCCAGGUGAUCUGAUAAUGGAUAUAGAGGAAUUCUAGUAUUGAAUUAGGCCUUUUGCAUCUGACAAAGAACAUGAUUAAAAGCAAUGACUUGAGAGGGAAUAUCUGUUAGCAUCUGUUAACUUGGUGGUCUACACAGGAUGCUGAAGGACUGUGUUAUACAGGAGUGUCUCCUCCUGGGUCCUCGAGGGGCAUGGUUUCAAAUGCAGGGAUUUCCUUUGAGCACCUCCUCCACGCCUCCAUGCUGGAACCAGAGGGGUUUCAAAUGUAAAGUUAUUUGUCUGACUUUCGCAAGUGUGGGCCAGGUAGGGAAAGCCAGGUGGGGUUCCUUUGUCCCAAAAUCCCGCCGAAACUCUGGGAGGAGGGGCUCUAUAACUCAAGAGUUGUGGACCAAGUAGCCAAUCUGAUAUCAGAGUCAAAGAUCAGUCACUCCAGAGGAAGUUUGAAAGAACUCCUCUCAUUGGACGAGAACAUGACUGGGGAGGGACUAACUCAAGGAUUAAAACUCCAGAUGCUCCUACCUAUACAGAUUCCUUCUCUGCGUCCCCUCCCACGACCUCGUGGGAGCUGUCUUCUUUCUCUCUCGAAUUAAUUGCUCUUCCGCAAAAGCGUUUGGGUCCAAGAUAUUUAUUCCAACGGCAAACUCACCACGCCUACAGGGCCCCUUUCCCCAUUCUUUGAAGUUAGAGAGGUGCAGAACCUCUUUGCAACUGGGAGCUGGAUAUGAGCCCCCGGUUACAAUGCCUGACUGAAUGAGAGCCUGCCUUUGGGAGGCUCAUAAGUUCAUAAGAAACAGAAUUGCCGCUAUUACUUAAACCGGGCAGUGUUUUGGUGAAGAACGUGGGCUCUGGGACAAAGGCCAUUUGCUGGUUAUUUUCUCUUGUCCAGUUAAUGAUCACUGUGCCUCAGUUUUCUUAUGUGUAAACUGUGGGUAGCCAGACCUCCCUGAAGGACACUUGCCAGCAAGACCAAAGCACAAGCUACAAACAGAGGCAAAACAGUGGAGGCCAGGGACGCCCCCAAAGGGAUUGGUAACAUGUGCUGGUGCCAGGGGCAGCUCUUGUCCUUGUCCCAGACUUUGCUAGGCAUUUGGUUUGCUGAUGUAAGCACUAAGUGGAAAGCCCCUGCUUCCAAACAGAUGUGAGGCACAGGUUUAAGCUUUGCAUUCUGCAUAUGACCUUUUCAUCUUUGCCCUCCUGUCUCCUAGCAUCCCUUUCUUUGUGAAUGGCGCCUACAGUGGUUUAUACAAACCAGACACCUGAAUCAUUCUAGGCUCCUUUGUGCCGCCCCCUCCAUGUUUCAGCAAAUCACUAAAUAUGGUUUGUUCUACCUUUCUACCUGUGACUUCUGUUUUAGUGUAGGUAAUUCUUAAUCAGCCUUCAAAUUCAGCUCAAAUGUGAUCUCUUAAAGGAAAGCAUUCCAUGACUCUCCAUUUCUUAGUCUAAGUUGCUCCUUUUCUUUGCUUCCCCAAACGUCUUGUGGCUACUUUAGGAAACACAGCAUUUCUUGCAAACAUUAAUUUAGUUUCCUCCACUAGACCCUGAGCUCCUUUGGACAGAGGCUGGGUCUUAUUUGGUUUUAUAUCCCUAAUGACUGGCAUAGUGCCUUCCAACUAACAGGCUUGUGAUGUUUAUUGAAGGAACCAAAGAAAGCAGGUUUUUGUGAGUUCACCUUGGAUCAUAAACAUGAUAUAGAACAUAUUUUUAUGGGGAAAAUAUGUUCUUACCUUCCCAAUAACUCAGAGUUAUAAGAUUUAGAGUAGUAGCAGAUGUCAUACUAAAAGAUCCUUUCUUCAGAGUCUAAAUUUUUUAAAAAAUUUAAUUUCAUGUGAAGGUAAAUUGCUUGUCUCUGACCUCAUCAACAUCCCAGUGGCAGGGUAUU